rnacentral:rRNA from 1 species
AAUCAACGCUGGCGGCGUGCCUCAGACAUGCAAGUCGAACGAGAAAGUCCCCGCAAGGGGAUGAGUAAAGUGGCGCACGGGUGAGUAACACGUAGGUAAUCUACCUUCGGGUGGGGAAUAACCCAGGGAAACUUGGGCUAACACCGCAUAAUGCAGCGGCACCACAUGGUGACAGUUGUUAAAGCGGGGGAUUUUAGGACCUCGCGCCUGGAGAGGAGCCUGCGGCGGAUUAGCUAGNGGUAGGGUAACGGCUUACCAAGGCGACGAUCCGUAACCGGCCUGAGAGGGCGGUCGGUCACACUGACACUGACAUACGGGUCAGACUCCUACGGGAGGCAGCAGUCGGGAAUUUUGGGC